AACGUUGGCGUGUCUCCACGUAUAUAUGCCGGUACCUCAGAAUAUGCCCCUUAAGUAAGGCCUUGUUUAGUCCUAAAAAAUUUGCAAAUUUUUUAGAUUUCUAGUCAUAUUGAAUCUUUAAACGUAUACAUGGAGUAUUAAAUAUAUACAAAAAUAAAAACUAAUUGUAUAGUUUGGUCGGAAUUGACGAGACGAAUCUUUUGAGCCUAGUUAGUCCAUGAUUGG
rnacentral:lncRNA from 1 species